CCCUCCUUGAAGCUUGUCUAGUAGUCUUAAGAACAUAAACUAAUUCCAUUUAUAAAACACUAUUGUUCUGUGACGAGCGACGAUUCAGGCAGCCUCUUUGCCAUUGAAGUGGCAUUGGAGGUGUUGCGUUGCUCGGAUAGUAAACCUUUUGCUCUUCAGAUUGGCUGAGAGGGUGGCUCCUGCUUCCCUCCCUGAAGCUGGUCUAGUAGUAUUAAGGACAUUAUUUAUCGUUAAUUUGGUUCUCAUACCCAAUUUGGUAUUGACCUUUUUCUUCAUUUCUUGUUUGUCGAUCAAAGAAAACAAAUGACGAUAGCAAGACAGGGACAUCAGAACCCUGAAUUUCAGGGUUAUGACAGACUACGUCUAUAAUGGGAAUCUCUCUGAUGUUUUCGAUUACCCAUAAAUCUGUUCUGGAA